GGAUUUAAUUUUCACUCACUUAGAAAAAAAUACAGCCGCAGAAGAGUUAUUUUCUCAGCAGUGAUUCGCUUAGGGGCGACGGUGCUCCGUGCGGUACAGCGACCAAUUAGCAGCGGGUGGCCAGUCCUGGAUUAGACUGGUCACCCCUGGAUUAGUGU